CCUACGGGAGGCUGCAGUGAGGAAUAUUGGUCAAUGGGCGCGAGCCUGAACCAGCCAAGUCGCGUGAGGGAAGACGGUCCUAUGGAUUGUAAACCUCUUUUGUCGGGGAGCAAAAGACGCCACGCGUGGCGUUCCGAGCGUACCCGAAGAAAAAGCAUCGGCUAACUCCGUGCCAGCAGCCGCGGUAAUACGGAGGAUGCGAGCGUUAUCCGGAUUUAUUGGGUUAAAGGGGUGCGCAGGCGGAAGAGCAAGUCAGCGGUAAAAGUGAGAGGCUCAACCUCUUCGAGCCGUUGAAACUGGUGUUCUUGAGUGAGUGAGAAGUAUGCGGAAUGCGUGGUGUAGCGGUGAAAUGCAUAGAUAUCACGCAGAACUCCGAUUGCGAAGGCAGCAUACCGGAGCGCAACUGACGCUCAUGCACGAAAGUGUGGGUAUCGAACAGGAUUAGAUACCCUUGUAGUC
rnacentral:rRNA from 1 species